CAAUAGCGUAUAUUUAAGUUGUUGCAGUUAAAAAGCUCGUAGUUGGAUUUCGGUUAAGAGCGACCGGUCCGCCGUUUGGUGUGCACUGGUUGGUUUUAACUUCCUGUAGAGGACGUGCUCUGGGUUUAACGACCUGGACUCGGAGUCUACGUGGUUACUUUGAAAAAAUUAGAGUGUUCAAAGCGGGCUUACGCUUGAAUAUUUCAGCAUGGAAUAACACUAUAGGACUCCUGUCCUAUUUCGUUGGUCUCGGGACGGGAGUAAUGAUUAAGAGGAACAGUUGGGGGCAUUCGUAUUUCAUUGUCAGAGGUGAAAUUCUUGGAUUUAUGAAAGACGAACUUCUGCGAAAGCAUUUGCCAAGGAUGUUUUCAUUNA
rnacentral:rRNA from 1 species